CCACCCCCUUCCUGUCCAGAGCUGCAACUGGAGGAGAGCUGUGCAGAGGCGCAGGACGGGGAGCUGGACGAGCUGUGGACGACUAUCACCAUCUUCAUCACACUCUUCCUGCUAAGCGUGUGCUACAGUGCCACCGUCACCUUCUUCAAGGUGAAGUGGAUCUUCUCCUCGGUGGUGGACCUGAAGCAGACCAUCGUCCCUGACUACAGGAACAUGAUCGGGCAGGGGCCCUAGGGUCACCCUCUGUGGGGUGUCCAGGACCGCCCAGACCCCACACAGGAGCCAAGGGCCAUGCUUAGCCACCACCCAGGUCACUCGUGCCUCCUGACCUCACCCCCCUCAACCCCAUGGCUCUCUGGCCUCGCAGUUGCCCUCUAACCUUGCCAUACCAGACACGCCCCCCUUCCAGACCCUGUGCAUAGCAGGUCUACCCCAGACCUCCGCUGCUUGGUGCAUGCAGGGCACUGGGGGCCAGGUGUCCCCUCAGCAGGACAUCCCUGCCCUCCCGCCCACCAGGUGCUCACACAAAAGAGGCAGCGGCCGGCAUACCAGGAGCCCACCCAGGCAGGAGCUGGCCCUGGAGCCAACCCCGUCCACGCCAGAUCCUGAACACAGGCAUGGUUUCAAGAUGGUAAAUGUGAGCAUCAGCCACCAAGGCGAGGAAGCCACAGCACCAUCAGGACCUGCUGGGGAGGCUUCGGAGAGCUGCGAAGGCUCAGUCAGACGGCCUUCCUCCCAGCCCGCAGCCAGCCAGCCUCCGUUCUGGGCACUCCUGGGAACUGACAUGAGGAAUGAGGUUGUUCUUAUUUCAAGCCAAGCACGCUGCUCUCCGGCUCCUGGGAAGAAGCCUCCCAUGGAACAGGGUCUCGGGGCCAGCACCGCCCCUUGGCUGCCUGCCCACGCCGCUGGAUUCUCGGGUGGAACUCGACCCACAGGGACAGCCAGCCCCAGAGUCUGCACUGGGGAGAGGAGGGACCAGGGCCAGGCCAAGGACACGGCCACCUCCCACCCACUCCACUCCGCGGAGAUCACUCAGAGAAGAGCCCAGGCCACGUGGUCGCUGCAGGAGCCCUACAGGGCAAGGGCGAGGACAGCCCAAGGAAGGGGUGGGCAUCUGCCCAGACAGGUCUCCCAGAGGAGGCCUGGUGACCAGGUCCCAGGCAGGCAAGACUCAGCCUUGGUGGGGCCUGAGGACAGAGGCGGCCCAGGAGCACCGGGGAGAGAGGUGGAGGGACACCAGGAGAGCCAGGAGCGUGAACACAGCACAACUCAUCACAGAGGCUGAAGUCCAGCCCCAAGUCACGUGCAGCAGGAACAAGCAGCCACUCUGGGGGCAGGAGGUGGAGAUAGAAGACGGCACAGAGGGUGCCCGUGGCCUUGGGAAAGCGGGGCUGCUGGCCACGACUGCCGGACAGAGGCUCCCACGCUCUGCUGCCCGCGUCACGCCGUUCGGUGAAUGUCACGCAGAAUCCGCAGACAGGAAGGGAGGCACGAGCGGGAGCGCGGCAAGCGCCUGCCUCGGCCGUCAGGGAGGACUCCCGGCCUCACUGGAAGGAGGUGCCACGAUUUCAGCUUUGGUAGCUUUUUUCUUCUUUUAAAUUUUCUAAAGCUCAUUAAUCAUCUUUAAUGUUUCUUGUUUUUGAUGACAAUAAAAUAUCCUUUUUAAGUC